GGUACGGAUCCAUUUUGCCGACUUCCCUUACCUACAUUGGCGCUAUCGACGAGAGGCUGUACACCUUGGAGACCUGCUGCGGAUGGUGGGUACGGACCGACUCGAGAGCUGCGAUUCGUUACGGACCCGGAUUUUCCAGGACCGCCGAGAGCGCACCGGACGCCGCCCGAGACGCGGCGCUCUACAGGUACCAUAUCCGUAUCUCCGGACGAGCCGAUUCCACGGACGCGGUCCUUUACGAAGAAGAGAGAACUCUUCCCGGGGCUCCCGGCAACGUCUCCGGGCUCGCUUGCGUUGCCGCUGCUUCGCCCGGCCGCCGGCUUCGACGACGGACGCGCUGCUAGGAAGAGCACGCCGCGUUCCCGCCGACGGACGGGCACUCUCCGAGUUCGGGUUCGGGAAUAUUAACCCGAUUCCCUUUCGAUGCGAGGCCGGCCGCUUCUUUUCUUCUUCUUUCUAAACGACGGAUCCGGCGCCUUUCGUGGAAGCUUUCGCCCGCUUCUUAGGACCGACUGACCCGUGCUCGACCGCCGUUGGCACGGAACCCUUCUCCACUUCGGUCUUCGAAGGUCUCGUUCGAAUAUUUGCUACUACCACCGAGAUCUGCACCCGCGGUCGGCUUCACCCGGGCUCGCGCCCGCGGCUUCCAUGCACGCCGCGGCGCCCUCCUACUCGACCGGGCAUCGGAAAG